rnacentral:lncRNA from 1 species
UUCUUAGAGUUUCAUUUGGUUGAAGUCUUGUACAGCAGAUCUGGUUAUGCUGGUGUGAUCUCUCCGUAGCUGAGAGGCUGUAGUUGUUUUGUAUUGGAUGAUUAUCAGUUGAUAAUCAUCGAUCUGUAUUGUGUUCUUGUAUCAUUCAGAUCUUACAAUUUGUAAGAUCUGUAGGGAGAUUGGGGGGGUAAAUUUUUGGUUUGGGUUAAUAAGAGAUUUGUCACCUGUUUUCGUCGCUAUUUCUUUGUUUGUGUUCUGUUAUCUUGUAUCCAAUCGUUUUAUACCAUAGUUCUUAACAGAUAGGCAGACAAUCCAGGUAAAAGACUGACGCUUCGCGGCUUCGGGUUUUCCUUUGUGAUUUAGCGUUAAUUUUUUAUUGGGUUGAUUUGGGUAAAUUAUGUAUGAAUAUAAUUGCAUAUUUAUAUAUAAUGGGUCAAAGUUCAAGUGGUAUAUAUAAAACACUAAAUAUAAUUUAUAUUUGUGCGUGUUAUAUACAUAUAAAACAAAUUAAAAAAUGAUUCGAGCUAAACUGCGCCAAACAGACCCUUGCUUGUGCUUGGCUCGUUUUACAAAUUGAACCAAGCCGAUCGGCUCGUUUACAACCGAGCUAAAAUAGAACGGCAUUUUCCGAGUAUUUUCCUACCGAGCGACGAGCGGUUUGAAAAGUGUUAACUAAAACAGUAUGAUAGAAAUGGGGAGUUUGGACUAUUUAUAAUUUUGUAUUAUGUUUGGACUACAAUGCCGAUGAAGUUUGGGACUCAUUAAAUGACAAAUUAGCAACCAAAAUUCAUUAGAAAUAAAUAAUUUACCAAAGCUGUUAAAAUGAUGUUAUAAUAGUUGAUCAUUCAUAUUUUAUUGUUUAAGUGUUACUAAAAUGUGUAACAAGUAUGUGUGCAGGUUAAAUACUUACAAGUUUUGUAAGUUGGAGGGUUGAUAUGAAAGUUAUGAGGAUCUGAGGGACUUACGCAUAUGAGCCUAAAGACUGUGAGGCCUGCGAUCAUCUAUGGGCUAUUAUGAAAGGCCUGGUUGUACUUAUGUUAAGAGUUGAUAUAAAAGUGAACUAUAGGGUUCACUAUGCUCAUUCUCUCAGUUGUUAGUUUGUUUCUUUGUUCUCUCUGGUUGUUAUAGUUUGUUAGAAAGUGUUAGUUGAUCUUCUUAUGAAGAUUGUAUUGUAUUGUUGAUGAUCAACUGAUGUUAUGAUCAGUUGAUCCUGUUGAACAUUUGUUCACUACAGAUCUUACACUUUGUAAGAUCUUGGGUAUAUUAGGGGGUGUUUUUAUGGGUUGGGUGCUAGGGUUUCUGAACUUGGAAAACCUGUUCUUAGUGUUGAUCAGCUUAUUCUUGAGUUCUGUGGUGAACCCCUAA